CGGCAACAUCACGUUGAAACACCAGUUCCCGGAUGAUCACCGAAGUUAAGCAACUUCGACCUUGGUCAGUACCUAGAUAAGUAAUCGUUUGGGAGUACCAGUUGCUGUAAU